rnacentral:rRNA from 1 species
AGGCUUUGAUCCUGGCUCAGGAUGAACGCUGGCGGCGUGCUUAACACAUGCAAGUCGAACGAACCUUCGGGUUAGUGGCGGACGGGUGAGUAACGCGUGAGAAUCUGCCCUCAGGAGGGGGAUAACGGCUGGAAACGGCCGCUAAUACCCCAUAUGCCGAGAGGUGAAACGAGUUUUCGCCUGAGGAUGAGCUCGCGUCUGAUUAGCUAGUUGGUGGGGUAAGAGCUUACCAAGGCAUCGAUCAGUAGCUGGUCUGAGAGGAUGAUCAGCCACACUGGGACUGAGACACGGCCCAGACUCCUACGGGAGGCAGCAGUGGGGAAUUUUCCGCAAUGGGCGAAAGCCUGACGGAGCAACGCCGCGUGAGGGACGAAGGCCUCUGGGCUGUAAACCUCUUUUCUCAAGGAAGAAGAUCUGACGGUACUUGAGGAAUAAGCCACGGCU